rnacentral:rRNA from 1 species
UAGGGAAUCUUCCGCAAUGGACGAAAGUCUGACGGAGCAACGCCGCGUGAGUGAAGAAGGAUUUCGGUUCGUAAAACUCUGUUGUUAGGGAAUAAAAAAUGUAUAGUAACUAUAUACAAAAGAGACGGUACCUAACCAGAAAGCCACGGCUAACUACGUGCCAGCAGCCGCGGUAAUACGUAGGUGGCAAGCGUUGUCCGGAAUUAUUGGGCGUAAAGCGCGCGCAGGUGGUUUAGAAAGUCUGAUGUGAAAGCCCACGGCUCAACCGUGGAGGGUCAUUGGAAACUAAUAAACUUGAGUGCAGGAGAGAAAAGUGGAAUUCCUAGUGUAGCGGUGAAAUGCGUAGAGAUUAGGAGGAACACCGGUGGCGAAAGCGGCUUUUUGGCCUGCAACUGACACUGAGGCGCGAAAGCGUGGGGAGCAAACAGG